AUACGGAGGGGGCUAGCGUUGUUCGGAAUUACUGGGCGUAAAGCGCGCGUAGGCGGAUUGAUCAGUCAGGGGUGAAAUCCCGAGGCUUAACCUCGGAACUGCCUCUGAUACUGUCAAUCUUGAGUUCGAGAGAGGUGAGUGGAAUUCCUAGUGUAGAGGUGAAAUUCGUAGAUAUUAGGAAGAACACCAGUGGCGAAGGCGGCUCACUGGCUCGAUACUGACGCUGAGGUGCGAAAGCGUGGGGAGCAAACAGGAUUAGAAACCCCAGUAGUCC
rnacentral:rRNA from 1 species